CGAGAAGUCCUUGAUGGCCUAGUGGUUUCAAUGGGCUUUCUCACACACGACUGCCAGAGGUCGCGAGUUCGACUCUCUGUCGGCGGGGUAGAACUGAAACCUCUCCAAAUAAAUCCUGUUGUAGAUGGCCCACGGGUUUCUAUGACGCAUUAAAGGAUUUUCCUGGAUAUGGGGCCUUUCGGGGUGGGGUCAGUCACUAUAAAAAGUUUACCCGUAACAGUUUGUAUUAACAUUCUUAGCAAAAAAAAAAAAAAUGUCAUGAUCGAUCCAUUAUUAACUAGUGAUGUUAUUGUGUCAUUAUACUUGGAUUUAAAUCCGCAUACAUGUUGUUGAUUUCAAGAAAAACUAAAC
rnacentral:lncRNA from 1 species